GUCGUAACAUGGUUUCCGUAGGUGAACCUGCGGAUGGAUCAUUGUCGAAACCUGCAAAGCAGAAAACCCGUGAACCCGUUACAACAACGGGGGUGAUGUGCGUAACGCGCCCUAACCCUCGACGCCGAGUGCGUACGGCCCCGCCUCGCGCCCUCGGCAUCAAACGAACCCCGGCGCGGAAUGCGUCAAGGAAACACAACGAAACGAGCUCCCGUCGCGGCCCCGGAGACGGUGCUUGCCGCGGCGGCUGUGUCGUGCUUAGUUUAAGUCUAAAAUGACUCUCGGCAACGGAUAUCUCGGCUCUCGCAUCGAUGAAGAACGUAGCGAAAUGCGAUACUUGGUGUGAAUUGCAGAAUCCCGUGAACCAUCGAGUUUUUGAACGCAAGUUGCGCCCAAAGCCAUCAGGCUGAGGGCACGUCUGCCUGGGCGUCACACACCGUUGCCCCCCCAAUAUCCCCUCGUGACUCUCCCCCGAGUGCCCGGGGAUUGUGGGGGGCGGACGAUGGCCUCCCGUGCGUCCUGGAUCGCGGUUGGCCCAAAGUCGAGUCCUCGGUCACGGUUGCCGUGGCAAAAGGUGGUUGUCGGUCACUCGGUGCCCCGUCACGUGCGCCGGACGCGAACCGAGACUCUUGUCUACCCCAAUGCAUCCCGUGCUGGUGCUUCCGACGCGACCCCAGGUCAGGCGGGGCUACCCGCUGAGUUUAAGCAUAUCAAUAAGCGGAGAAA
rnacentral:rRNA from 1 species